AUCAAUGGGCCACGCAAAAUGUGUUUCUGCGACGAACAAACUGCUUCGCGCAAUUUGUUAAAAUUUUGGCUGCUUAGUUGGAAAAAAUUGGCGGUUUCAUAAAAAUUUCGGCUUUUUAUUUUGUAUAACCCUAGGCUGGGUGUUCUCAUUCUUCCCUUCAAAGGCCACUCCAGUUCAAGUCCUCCCUCAGUCAGUUCAAGUCUUCUUCUCUGUCGUCUUCCUCCAGUUCGUGGUUCUCUGGCGUCGUCCGGGGCCGGUUGGAACGGGCCGGGUCCGUCAAGACGGGAGCAGACUCCCUUUCGGGCGGUUCCGGCGACAGUUCCGGCCCUGUUGUGCGGAAUCAGUUCCGAGGCGUGCUAUUCAAGUACGGCCCCAAAUCUAUUCAGGUAGGAUUUAAAACAGGUGAUUAUCGACAGCAAGUCAUUUUUAUUGGUGGACUGUCUGAUGGUUUUCUGGCAACAGAAUACUUGGAACCUCUUGCAAUUGCUUUGGACAAAGAGAAAUGGUCACUUGUUCAACCACUCUUGUCAUCUUCAUACAGUGGAUAUGGCACUUCCAGCUUCAAACAAUUAUAAAUUGUAGGUGAUUAAUGUUCUGCUGAGAUCCUAGAUCAGGAGCUUGGUCGUUGUCAUGGCAAGGUUGUUUGGGGUAUGGGGAAGGUGCGGGUUCGUGAGACGGGUGCCUCCUUUUCCAGACCGACCACAAGAUAGGUCAUCGUCCUGACGGAGGAAGUGGAAACCCUAAAAGAUAAGAUUGCGGCCCAUGAAGCAUCCUAGGAUGCCCAGAUUGCAAACCAGUUUUUGCCCUAGGACAAGAAGAUGGGCAUGAUCUUACAAGCCUUACAUAUGUCUGGCCUUCAAAUCUCGAUGCCAGCACCUGAUCUUGCUCCACUUUCACCUUGUCGAUACCCAGUAGCCUGAUGUAUCAAACCUAGAAGACUAUAGUUUUUUUCUUUUUUGUUUAGACAUCUUGUAUGUACAUUUUCAUAUAUUUUAUAAUUAAAUACUUUUUUUUGGUUUAUGAA